UACGGAGGGAGCAAGCGUUACUCGGAAUUAUUGGGCGUAAAGGGCGCGUAGGCGAUUUGACAAGUCAACUGUGAAAGCCCAGGGCCUAACCCUGGAAGAGCAGCUGAAACUGUUGAAUUUGAGUUCCGGAGAGGAAGGCAGAAUUCCCGGUGUAGCGGUGAAAUGCGUAGAUAUCGGGAGGAAUACCAGUGGCGAAGGCGGCCUUCUGGACGGAUACUGACGCUGAGGCGCGAAAGCCAGGGGAGCAAACGGG
rnacentral:rRNA from 1 species